rnacentral:misc_RNA from 1 species
AAGUCGUAACAAGGUCUCCGUUGGUGAACCAGCGGAGGGAUCAUUACUGAGUUUACAACUCCCAAACCCAUGUGAACAUACCUAUCGUUGCUUCGGCGGGACCGCCCCGGCGCACUCUGCUGCCCGGAACCAGGCGCCCGCCGGAGACCACCAAACUCUUGUUUUAUUAGUGAAUCUCUGAGUUAUCAUACAAAUGAAUCAAAACUUUCAACAACGGAUCUCUUGGUUCUG